AACAUACCUAAAACGUUGCUUCGGCGGGAACAGACGGCCCUGUAACAACGGGCCGCCCCCGCCAGAGGACCCCUAACUCUGUUUUUAUAAUGUUUUUCUGAGUAAACAAGCAAAUAAAUUAAAACUUUCAACAACGGAUCUCUUGGCUCUGGCAUCGAUGAAGAACGCAGCGAAAUGCGAUAAGUAAUGUGAAUUGCAGAAUUCAGUGAAUCAUCGAAUCUUUGAACGCACAUUGCGCCCGCCAGUAUUCUGGCGGGCAUGCCUGUUCGAGCGUCAUUACAACCCUCAGGCCCCCGGGCCUGGCGUUGGGGAUCGGCGGAAGCCCCCUGUGGGCACACGCCGUCCCUCAAAUACAGUGGCGGUCCCGCCGCAGCUUCCAUUGCGUAGUAGCUAACACCUCGCAACUGGAGAGCGGCGCGGCCAUGCCGUAAAACACCCAACUUCUGAA
rnacentral:misc_RNA from 1 species